GAAAAUAUAGAGAUGAUCUCUCUCUCCACCGUGUGAGGAUAUAGCAAGAAGAUAGGCCAUCUGCAAACCAGGAAGAGGGCCCUC